UGCAUUUGGCAUUUCCAGGGGGGUCACACU
rnacentral:piRNA from 1 species